rnacentral:rRNA from 1 species
AUUGGGUAGGGGAGCGUUCUGUAAGCCGUUGAAGGUGGUCUGUAAGGGCUGCUGGAGGUAUCAGAAGUGCGAAUGCUGACAUGAGUAACGACAAAGGGGGUGAAAAACCUCCUCGCCGGAAGACCAAGGGUUCCUGUCCAACGUUAAUCGGGGCAGGGUGAGUCGACCCCUAAGGUGAGGCCGAAAGGCGUAAUCGAUGGGAAACGGGUUAAUAUUCCCGUACUUCUGACUAUUGCGAUGGGGGGACGGAGAAGGCUAGGUGGGCCAGGCGACGGUUGUCCUGGUUCAAGUGCGUAGGCUUAAGAGUUAGGUAAAUCCGGCUCUUUCUAAGGCUGAGACACGACGUCGAGCUGCUACGGCAGUGAAGUCAUUGAUGCCAUGCUUCCAGGAAAAGCCUCUAAGCUUCAGAUAGUCAGGAAUCGUACCCCAAACCGACACAGGUGGUCGGGUAGAGAAUACCAAGGCGCUUGAGAGAACUCGGGUGAAGGAACUAGGCAAAAUGGUACCGUAACUUCGGGAGAAGGUACGCUCUUGAUGGUGAAGUCCCUCGCGGAUGGAGCUGACGAGAGUCGCAGAUACCAGGUGGCUGCAACUGUUUAUUAAAAACACAGCACUGUGCAAAAUCGCAAGAUGACGUAUACGGUGUGACGCCUGCCCGGUGCCGGAAGGUUAAUUGAUGGGGUUAGCGCAAGCGAAGCUCUUGAUCGAAGCCCCGGUAAACGGCGGCCGUAACUAUAACGGUCCUAAGGUAGCGAAAUUCCUUGUCGGGUAAGUUCCGACCUGCACGAAUGGCGUAAUGAUGGCCACGCUGUCUCCACCCGAGACUCAGUGAAAUUGAAAUCGCUGUGAAGAUGCAGUGUACCCGCGGCUAGACGGAAAGACCCCGUGAACCUUUACUACAGCUUGGCACUGAACAUUGAACCUACAUGUGUAGGAUAGGUGGGAGGCUAUGAAGACGUGACGCUAGUUGCGUUGGAGCCGUCCUUGAAAUACCACCCUUGUAUGUUUGAUGUUCUAACUUAGACCCGUUAUCCGGGUUGAGGACAGUGCCUGGUGGGUAGUUUGACUGGGGCGGUCUCCUCCCAAAGAGUAACGGAGGAGCACGAAGGUGGGCUAAUCACGGUUGGACAUCGUGAGGUUAGUGCAAUGGCAUAAGCCCGCUUAACUGCGAGAAUGACGGUUCGAGCAGGUGCGAAAGCAGGUCAUAGUGAUCCGGUGGUUCUGUAUGGAAGGGCCAUCGCUCAACGGAUAAAAGGUACUCCGGGGAUAACAGGCUGAUACCGCCCAAGAGUUCAUAUCGACGGCGGUGUUUGGCACCUCGAUGUCGGCUCAUCACAUCCUGGGGCUGAAGUCGGUCCCAAGGGUAUGGCUGUUCGCCAUUUAAAGUGGUACGCGAGCUGGGUUUAGAACGUCGUGAGACAGUUCGGUCCCUAUCUGCCGUGGGCGUUGGAAGAUUGAAGGGGGCUGCUCCUAGUACGAGAGGACCGGAGUGGACGAACCUCUGGUGUUCGGGUUGUGUCGCCAGACGCAUUGCCCGGUAGCUAAGUUCGGAAUUGAUAAGCGCUGAAAGCAUCUAAGCGCGAAGCGAGCCCUGAGAUGAGUCUUCCCUGACGGUUUAACCGUCCUAAAGGGUUGUUCGAGACUAGAACGUUGAUAGGCAGGGUGUGUAAGCGUUGUGAGGCGUUGAGCUAACCUGUACUAAUUGCCCGUGAGGCUUAACCAUACAACACCCAAGGGGUUUUGUA